ACGGUCCUAAGGUAGCGAAAUUCCUUGUCAGGUAAGUUCUGACCCGCACGAAAGGAGUAAUGAUUUGGGCACUGUCUCAACAAUGUACCCGGCGAAAUUGUAGUACUAGUGAAGAUGCUAGUUACCUGCGACAAGACGGAAAGACCCCAUGGAGCUUUACUAUAGCCUGAUAUUGGGCUUUGGUAUCUUAUGUACAGGAUAGGUGGGAGACGAAGAGAUUAAGACGCUAGUCUUAAAGGAGUCACCCUUGGAAUACCACCCUUAAGAUAUUAGAGUUCUAACUUGUGAUCAUAAACUGGUCAGAGGACAUUGUCAGGUGGGUAGUUUGACUGGGGCGGUCACCUCCUAAAGAGUAACGGAGGUGCGCAAAGGUUUCCUCAGCACGGUCAGAAAUCGUGCUAUUGAGUGUAAAGGCAUAAGGAAGCUUAACUGAGAGAGAGACAUCUCGACCAGAUACGAAAGUAGGUCUUAGUGAUCCGGUGGUAGAAAAUGGAAUUGCCAUCGCUCAACGGAUAAAAGUUACCCUGGGGAUAACAGGCUUAUCUCCCCCAAGAGUUCACAUCGACGGGGAGGUUUGGCACCUCGAUGUCGGCUCAUCGCAUCCUGGGGCUGAAGUCGGUCCCAAGGGUUGGGCUGUUCGCCCAUUAAAGCGGUACGCGAGCUGGGUUCAGAACGUCGUGAGACAGUUCGGUCCCUAUCUGUCGCAGGCGCAGGAUAUUUGAAAGGAGCUGUCCUUAGUACGAGAGGACCAGGAUGGACAUACCAAUGGUGCAACAGUUGUCACACCAGUGGCACGGCUGUGUAGCUAAGUAUGGAAGGGAUAAACGCUGAAAGCAUCUAAGCGUGAAGCCCCCCUUAAGAUAAGAUAUCCCACAACGUCAAGUUGGUAAGAUUCCAGUUAGACUAACUGGUUGAUAGGUUAGAGGUGUAAGUGUGGUGACACAUUUAGCUGACUAAUACUAAUAAUCGAGGGCUUAACCAA
rnacentral:rRNA from 1 species